CUGCCUUUCAGAGGGGGACAACAGUUGGAAACGACUGCUAAUACCGCAUAAAAUAACGGAAUCGCAUGAUUCUGUUAUCAAAGGAGAAAUCCGCUGAAAGAUGGGCUCGCGUCUGAUUAGAUAGUUGGUGAGGUAACGGCCCACCAAGUCGACGAUCAGUAGCCGGACUGAGAGGUUGAACGGCCACAUUGGGACUGAGACACGGCCCAGACUCCUACGGGAGGCAGCAGUGGGGGAUAUUGGACAAUGGGGGAAACCCUGAUCCAGCGAUGCCGCGUGAGGGAAGAAGGUUUUCGGAUUGUAAACCUCUGUGGACAGGGACGAUAAUGACGGUACCUGUCAAGAAAGCCACGGCUAACUACGUGCCAGCAGCCGCGGUAAUACGUAGGUGGCGAGCGUUGUCCGGAAUUACUGGGUGUAAAGGGAGUGUAGGCGGGAAGGCAAGUCAGAAGUGAAAAUUAUGGGCUCAACCCAUAACCUGCUUUUGAAACUGUUUUUCUUGAGUGAAGCAGAGGCAAGCGGAAUUCCUAGUGUAGCGGUGAAAUGCGUAGAUAUUAGGAGGAACACCAGUGGCGAAGGCGGCUUGCUGGGCUUUUACUGACGCUGAGGCUCGAAAGUGUGGGGAGC
rnacentral:rRNA from 1 species